rnacentral:rRNA from 1 species
AAUGAACGUUGGCGGCGUGGAUUAGGCAUGCAAGUCGAGCGAGAACCCCGCAAGGGGGGACAGCGGCGCAAGGGACAGUAAUGUGUAGAUCAUCUGCCCUCAGGUCCGGGAUAGCUGCGGGAAACUGCAGGUAAUACCGGAUAACAUCUCCGGAUCAAAGGUGUGAUUCCGCCUGAGGAUGAGUCUGCAUCCUAUUCGCUAGUUGGCAGGGUAACGGCCUACCAAGGCAUUGAUGGGGAGCGGGUGUGAGAGCACGACCCGCGUCAUUGGGACUGAGACACUGCCCAGACACCUACGGGUGGCUGCAGUCGAGAAUCUUCGGCAAUGGGCGCAAGCCUGACCGAGCGACGCCGCGUGUGGGAUGAAGGCCUUCGGGUUGUAAACCACUGUCAGAGGGGAUGAAAUGCAGGUGGGUUCUCCCAUCUGUUUGACAUAGCCUCAGAGGAAGGACGGGCUAAGUUCGUGCCAGCAGCCGCGGUAA